CCUACGGGGGACAGCAGUAGGGAAUCUUCCACAAUGGGCGAAAGCCUGAUGGAGCAACGCCGCGUGGGUGAAGAAGGUCUUCGGAUCGUAAAACCCUGUUGUUAGAGAAGAAAGUGCGUGAGAGUAACUGUUCACGUUUCGACGGUAUCUAACCAGAAAGCCACGGCUAACUACGUGCCAGCAGCCGCGGUAAUACGUAGGUGGCAAGCGUUAUCCGGAUUUAUUGGGCGUAAAGGGAACGCAGGCGGUCUUUUAAGUCUGAUGUGAAAGCCUUGGGCUUAACCGGAGUAGUGCAUUGGAAACUGGGAGACUUGAGUGCAGAAGAGGAGAGUGGAACUCCAUGUGUAGCGGUGAAAUGCGUAGAUAUAUGGAAGAACACCAGUGGCGAAGGCAGCUCUCUGGGCUGUAACUGACGCUGAGGUUCGAAAGCGUGGGUAGCAAACAGGAUUAGAUACCCGUGUAGUC
rnacentral:rRNA from 1 species